GUCGAAGUGUGGAACUGGUUGGGGCUUGCCUCCUCAUAUACCCGGCGGAACAGAGUGCCAGGUGCUGCCGGGUUGUGGACACCUGGCGAGGGCUUCCCACCAGGCCAUGUUAUGUUCCUCUGGCCUUCCCUCACUAUGGUGCACCUGCCGCGGCGAGAUUUUCGAGGUCAAGAGAGCUGAUCCAUCUUGUGCCUGAAGUGGCGGGCUUCCUCCAGACCUUGCAGGUAACAUCAGUGCAUUCCGUGUGUGGAGUAUCUAAAGGAGGCAGAGACGAGGAGUGUUGCUUCCCCCAUCAGCACAGUCCAGGCCGUUGUCUUGAAGAGGUCCAGGUCGUGGGUCGUGGCGAGGGUGCCAGUCCUGCUGCCGCCACCACUACGGUACAGGGUCCCCUGCACACACACAGGACAUUGGGAAGCAGAAGCAGAAUAUGUGUCCACAUAUUCAAAUAUUCUUUCAAGAUCUGACUGUACAAUUGACUGAGGCGAAGAUAAUGUAUUAGUGUAAUAUUGCUCUGUGAAAAAUUUCCCGAAUUGAUAGAUGGUGUGUGGGAAGUGUGAUACUUCAACCUCGUCACCAUUCUCUCUCUCUCUCUCUCUCUCUCUCUCUCUCUCUCUCUCUCUCUCUCUCUCUCUCUCUCUCUCUCUCUCUCUC